CUCCCCUUGGUGUAGUUGGUUUAUCACGUUCGACUGUAAUUGUUAAAUUGUUAUCGAAAGGUCCCUAGUUCGAUUCUGGGAGGGGAGA
rnacentral:tRNA from 1 species